rnacentral:tRNA from 1 species
GGGAUAUAGCUCAGUUGGAUAGAGCACGGCCCUUCUAAGGCUGUGGUCGAGGGUUCGAAUCCUUCUAUCCCC